rnacentral:misc_RNA from 1 species
UGGGCUUGACAUGCAGGGUGAAACCCGUGAAAGCGGGUGCUCUACGGAGCCUGCACAGGUGGUGCAUGGCUGUCGUCAGCUCGUGCCGUGAGGUGUUGCCUUAAGUGGCGCAACGAGCGCAACCCCUAUCCUUAGUUGCCAGCGGGUCAUGCCGGGAACUCUAGGGAGACUGCCGGUGCCAAACCGGAGGAAGGUGGGGAUGACGUAGCUAAGCCUUC